rnacentral:rRNA from 1 species
GACGAAGGACCCAAGCGUUAUCCGGAUUCAUUGGGUUUAAAGGGUGCGUAGGCGGGUUGAUAAGUCAGUGGUGAGAGCCCAACGCUUAACGUUAGAACUGCCAUUGAUACUGUCGAUCUUGAAUGUGUUUGAUGUGGGCGGAAUAUGACAUGUAGCGGUGAAAUGCUUAGAUAUGUCAUAGAACACCGAUUGCGAAGGCAGCUCACAAAGCCACUAUUGACGCUGAGGCACGAAAGCGUGGGGAUCAAACAGG